UUUCCGUAGGUGAACCUGCGGAAGGAUCAUUAUUGAAUAAAAUUGGCUGGGUUGUUGCUGGCUUUUAGGAGCAUGUGCACACUCGGUGUCAUUUUAUUAACCACUUGUGCACUUUAUGUAGACCCCUUGAGUUUUCGAGGAAACUCGGAUUGAGGAGGUGCCUUCUGAUGGAGGGCUCUCCUUGUGCGCUCUGGGGGUCUAUGAUUUCACACACACUAUGAAUGUAACAGAAUGUUGACAUAUUGGCAUUGUGCCUUUAAUACAAUACAACUUUCAACAACGGAUCUCUUGGCUCUC
rnacentral:misc_RNA from 1 species